AGAGAGCAAGUCAGGCCUCUGUGUCUCUUCUGUAGCUCCAGCCCCCAGACGGCCAUUCUCCUGUGUCCUUUUCCACACAGAAAAGGUCUUGAAGACGUCCCCUUUAGCCAGGGAGAGGGAGGGAGACACACCCUCUUCCACUGACCACCCAGAAGAGCCUCCAGAGAUUUAGAGUUUCUGUGACAACACAUUAGCAUACAUUACAAUACAGAUACUUAAUAGACCUGCCUAUGCUAUUUCCUUAAUAAAGAAGCAUUUGACCAUUUUAGCAAUCUCCCCUAUUCCUGUGGAACCCCAUUUUAGUUAUAAAAUCACAGGAUUGGAAGGGAACCCCACCUCCCGCAAAAAGGAAAAACCACCACAAUUUAGUCUAACCACAAACUCUUUGCAAUAUUCUGAAUUGCCCUGAAAUUUCCCCACAGCUCAAUUUUUCCUUUCCUUGACAAUUCCUGUAACUCCUUCUGUUUUUCUCUCUCUGCAGAUUGAGAUCGAGCUUGUGUAUGAAUCUCCAGGUCAUGCUCUGAUGGGCAAAUGGCUGAGCCUCUAUGACCCAGCUAAUCUCAAUGCCGGACUAAGGGGCUAUGUGAAAGUUCACCUCUGUGUCCUUGGAGCUGGAGAUCAGGCGCCGCUGCCACUGAAAUGAACACAGAAAAUGCCCUGUUUGAAUCUGAAACUCCCUCCGUGUUCUGUAGAGAUGGUCUGUGACAGCUUUCACCCACCUAGGGCCCUCCCGAUAUUUGAGACUGAAAAAGGAUUAUGGGGAAGGGAGCUCCCUGACAGAGCACCUGCUUUGCUUGCAGGAAGUCCUGCCCCCCCCCCCGCAUCUCCAGGUGGGGCAGGGAAUGUCUCCCAUCCAAAGUCUUGGGAGCCAUUGCUGGUCAGUGUGGACAGCACUGUGCCAGGUAGGCCAAUGGCCUGAUCCAUGACAAGGCAGCUUCCUGUGUUCCCAUCCAUCCCCACCAGCACAGCUGGGGCAGGCUGGGGCUGAUGGGGGUUGUGAGCCAAAAACAUCUAGAGGGCCACCAGCAUCUGGGUCACAGGUUUAUGUUGCGCCUUUCUCUUCUCCAAGGAUGCAGCCCAUUUGCCAGACAGUGGCGAUUUGGAAGCCAACCUCCUGCAGGCAGCAGUAAUGCCAGCAGUACGCAGAGCCAUGCUCCAGCUCUUCGUAUACCGAGCAGAAGAUUUGUCUCCAAGUGUCCUCAACGUCGGGCAGGACCGCAGCUCGUACCAGCCCAUCGACCACCCGGAGCCGCUGCGCCCCUACCCAGACGUGACUACCAAGGCCUCCCCACCUCCUCCUUAUUGAGGCGUCCCUUGAACCGUCCAAAGAACACUGGGCCCUUUCCUUGCUGUGCUGGGGAACAAAACCGUCUUCGCCACUUAGCCCCAACCCCACUUCUUCCUCCCUACCAGAGGAAGCGUGGUUUCUAAAAACCAGUCUAGGAGGGGAGGAAAAAAACUUUGCAAACAAAGCAGCCUGUGGCUUCGACUUGAGGGUUUUGUCAUAGUUUCUGCUGCGAAUCCAGAGCGCACCUUGGACAACGAUGUUUUAAAGUCCCCCCCCCCCCGAUCCCAGAAAUGUCAUAUGUACAACUCUCUGCAAUUUCCUUCUGCAAUAGCAAAGUUCUCUGUAUUUUUUCCCAGCUACAUUGAUGCUGAUCGAUUCAGCCUCUCAAGGCUACCCUGGGAAGAGUACCCCCCCCAAUAAAAUAGCCCCCCCCCUCACUAAGAGACUCAGCAAGAGAGUUGUUAGCUGGAGGAUCUGUCUGCUUACAGGAGCCAGCUAAUAUUAUUUCCAAAGAGCAAUCCAUGCCCUCGCCCGUUGCUGCAACUGUGCCAUUUUUCUGCCGAUGAUUUGCUGCAGGCACACACCUUCUGAUGACUGCUGUCGGUGUGCUGAUCGUUUUUCUCUCUCAAAAACACUUUUGUGCCUUAGAGAAAACACACAGCCUUCCUUUCUUCCCCUGUUCUUUGUAUGUAUGAUUGUUUUCCUAGAGAAAAUUAAAGAACCCUUUUAAUAAAACGUUUCAGUCU